AGAAAUUGAGGAGAGGAGAGAGAUAAGCUCCCAGCUCCCCCAAAACCGCACCCACACCCAUUGCGACCACCCAUCUUUCAAGGUUGAUUCCGGCCAACUCCGAUGGAGUUUUUCGAUGCCACCACCGCCAUCUUGAGGCUCUCAUUCCCCUCUACAAAACCCAGCCAAGAACCACCUUGAUAACCACGGUCUGUGGCGGUUUGAGGCCACGAAAGUCGAAAAAAAAUCAACGGUGCUCCAGCUACGCUUUUCAAUAGUUCGGCGAAUCGGCAAAGCGAUGGCCAAUGCCACCACUUGGGCUUUGUAGCCCAUCACCCCAGGAGAAAAUCCCAACCAACCUUGAUCCCGUUGGACCACCGUAGAUGACGAAUCGACGCCGGGAAUCUUUAGGCACCCGUUGGCUUUGUGGACAAAAUUGAC
rnacentral:lncRNA from 1 species